AUUGAACGCUGGCGGCAUGCCUUACACAUGCAAGUCGAACGGCAGCGGACCUUCGGGUGCCGGCGAGUGGCGAACGGGUGAGUAAUAUAUCGGAACGUACCUUUCAGUGGGGGAUAACGUAGCGAAAGUUACGCUAAUACCGCAUAUUCUGUGAGCAGGAAAGCAGGGGAUCGCAAGACCUUGCGCUGAUUGAGCGGCCGAUAUCAGAUUAGCUAGUUGGUGAGGUAAAGGGCUCACCAAGGCGACGAUCUGUAGCGGGUCUGAGAGGAUGAUCCGCCACACUGGAACUGAGACACGGUCCAGACUCCUACGGGAGGCAGCAGUGGGGAAUUUUGGACAAUGGGCACAAGCCUGAUCCAGCCAUGCCGCGUGAGUGAAGAAGGCCUCGGUU
rnacentral:rRNA from 1 species